rnacentral:rRNA from 1 species
UUUAUGGAGAGUUUGAUCCUGGCUCAGGAUGAACGCUGGCGGCGUGCCUAACACAUGCAAGUCGAGCGGCAGCGCGAGUAGUUUACUACUUGGCGGCGAGCGGCGAACGGCUGAGUAACGCGUGGGAAUUUGCCCCAAAGUGAGGAAUAACUGCCCGAAAGGGUGGCUAAUGCCGCAUAUGAUCUUCGGAUUAAAGGAUUUAUCCGCUUUGGGAGAAGCCCGCGUCGGAUUAGGUAGUUGGUGAGGUAAUGGCUCACCAAGCCGACGAUCCGUAGCUGGUCUGAGAGGAUGACCAGCCAGACUGGAACUGAGACACGGUCCAGACUCCUACGGGAGGCAGCAGUGAGGAAUC